AUACGGAGGGUGCAAGCGUUAUUCGGAAUCACUGGGCGUAAAGGACGCGUAGGCGGGUUGGCAAGUCUGAUGUGAAAUCCUACAGCUUAACUGUAGAACUGCAUUUGAAACUGCUAACCUAGAGUAUGGGAGGGGGAGAUGGAAUUAGUGGUGUAGGGGUAAAAUCCGUAGAUAUCACUAGGAAUACCGAAAGCGAAGGCGAUUUCCUGGAACAUAACUGACGCUAAGGCGUGAAAGCGUGGGGAGCAAACAGGAUUAGAAACCCUUGUAGUCC
rnacentral:rRNA from 1 species